AUUGAACGCUGGCGGCCGGCCUAACACAUGCAAGUCGAGCGGAGCGGCGGACGGGUGAGUAAUGCCUAGGAAUCUGCCUGGUAGCGGGGGAUAACGUCCGGAAACGGGCGCUAAUAUCGCAUCCUACGAGAUGAGCUUAGGUCGGAUUAGCAAGUUGGGGGGGUAAAGGCCUACCAAGGCGACGAUCCGCGACUGGUCUGAGAGGAUGAUCAGUCACACUGGAACUGAGACACGGUCCAGACUCCGACGGGAGGCAGCAGUGGGGAAUAGUGGACAAUGGUCGAAAGCCUGAUCCAGACAUGGUGCGUGUGUAAAGAAGGUCUUCGGAUGGUAAAGCACUUUAAGAUGGGAGGCGUUCCCAACAGAAUAAGCAACGGCUAACUUCGUGCGAGCAGCCGCGGUAAUAC
rnacentral:rRNA from 1 species